UCACUCAGGUGUCUCUUCAAAACGUUUAAGACUUUCGCCUUUCGACUUGUGCUAAAGAUUUCCAUGGAGGGGAAUUCUGUAAAGAGUAAUUAAUCAUUUUUGGGAGUCAUGCGUUAAGUAAGACU